rnacentral:rRNA from 1 species
AGUGAACGCUGGCGGUAGGCCUAACACAUGCAAGUCGAACGGCAGCACAGUAAGAGCUUGCUCUUACGGGUGGCGAGUGGCGGACGGGUGAGGAAUACAUCGGAAUCUACUUUUUCGUGGGGGAUAACGUAGGGAAACUUACGCUAAUACCGCAUACGACCUACGGGUGAAAGCAGGGGAUCUUCGGACCUUGCGCGACUGAGUGAGCCGAUGUCGGAUUAGCUAGUUGGCGGGGUAAAGGCCCACCAAGGCGACGAUCCGUAGCUGGUCUGAGAGGAUGAUCAGCCACACUGGAACUGAGACACGGUCCAGACUCCUACGGGAGGCAGCAGUGGGGAAUAUUGGACAAUGGGCGCAAGCCUGAUCCAGCCAUACCGCGUCGGUGAAGAAGGCCUUCGGGUUGUAAAGCCCUUUUGUUGGGAAAGAAAAGCAGCAGGUUAAUACCCCGCUGUUCUGACGGUACCCAAAGAAUAAGCACCGGCUAACUUCGUG